ACAACUUUCUUUCAAAUUAAGCCCUCAACAGGCAAAAUUGCCAUCAACCUAUCCUGGGUACACCAGCUACUCACUUCAUAAAUUUUGGUGGGAGAGAUGGUUAAAGAUGCUGUGACUUCUAUCAAGUAUAUAUAUGUUUUAAUUUGUGCAUAUCUCAGUCAAAUAAGGUUAUACAUGUACGCUCAAUCUGACUGUCUGUGCAAAGGAAAUACAAAUAUUUACAUCAUGUCAUGCGUGUUUAUAGAGUCCUCUACCUAUAUUUUAAACACUUAAGUGUUCUGAUAUGUUCAUAUAGUCGAAAAUCUUCCCCAAUAGACAUACAAUUUAUACUCCUUGCAUCGAUCUACAAUAUAACGAACAUAUUUCCAUGACCUUUGUGAGCGCCCGAGUGAAGCGACAAUUGUGAAGGAAAUGCUCUUUCCAAACAAAUAAUCUUCAAUUAUACGAGAAGUAAAUUUUAAAUUAUUACAAUCUGAGAAAUUGGAAAAACUAUUUCGGACAAAUUCUUCUAUUUUAUAAUGUCACUCCUCGAUUUUGCUCCAAUAAAUUUAAGCUUAAGAAAUUCAAACGUCGAGUAAACGAGAGUUGUGUCCAAAUACAACCACACACAGAAAAUCAUGCACAAAAAUAACUACCCACCUUGCCAAAGCACGAACGAUACAGCUAAGACAAACAGCACUUGCUUCAUGUAGCAAUUCAUACUGAAAACACCAGUUUAAUUAUCGAUCGUCCGAUUCCUCAAGUCACAAGACAUUACAACAGCGCUAAAUUUAUUCCAUGCCACGACAUGUAAAAUGGCACAACAACGAACACGAUUGGGAAUACUUUGUAACCACCCCUCACCCUCGUGGUUAUCAUGCUCGCAAUGGAUGCUGGUACAUGUUGGCUCAGCUAAUAAAAUUUCAUUUUUCAAUGCGUGUUUUUCCCCAUCUACUUGACAUUUCCACCAAAUUAUAAGAAGUUGAUAGUCUUAGUAGUUUUUGGGCUGCUUGUUCACAGAUACCUCGUGACCGCCUGGAGGUGCAUAUAGAUCGCCCUAAAAAUAUUUUAUUUUUCACUUUCACUGAAGAGUUGGAGAAAAGCCAGAGGGAAAGAAACUGGAAAAAAAGUUGGAGGUGUUGUGGAACAACUGAGACGCUUCAGCGCCAAUUACUAGUACAAGUUUUGUCUGUGUUCUCUCCGGUGACUGACAUAAACAAAGUUCUUCAGGAAUAAAUGCCCUUCGACACGAUAUCUCUUAAAUGUCCCUGUGGAUACAUAAGACAUGACGUUCAAUGCUUGGGUGAGUGGAACGACACCAAUCAGGGAAUCCUCAAGUAUUGUGGCGGGCUCUUCAUUCAAGACGCAAGCGGCGAGGCUGUCAUCUGCCGUAAGUGUAAACACGAAACACGUGAAAUCAGGCUUAGCUGUCCCUUCUGCUACAGAAUAACCAAUAUUGGUGUAGCGUAUCGGGUGAAGGCGAACACAGGACGGGCUGUGUCCAUGCAGAUGUCAGUACAUAAAACAAUGCUAUUCUUUAACUAAGUUGGAACAUUCAGUUGAACUUCUUACAGUGUUCAGACUUCGAAUAUACCUACAGUGUCUAUCUUUUUACCAAUAGCUCUGGGACUGCGAUUGCAAAUUCUUCAAAACAACGUAAAA